rnacentral:rRNA from 1 species
ACAAUCUUGUGCCAGCCACCGCGGUCACACAAGAGACCCAAAUUAACUGUACACGGCGUAAAGAGUGGAACUAUGAUGUCAUAAUAACUAGGGUCGAAAUACAACUAAGCUGUCAUAAGCUCAAGAUGUACUUAAGGUCUUCAUUAAGAUGACCCUAGCAUUCUUGAUUUAUUUAACGCCACGAAAGCUAGGGCACAAACUGGGAUUAGAUACCCCAUUAUGCCUAGCCCUAAAUCUUGAUGUUUGCCAUACUAAAGCAUCCGCCUGAGAACUACGAGCACAAACGCUUAAAACUCUAAGGACUUGGCGGUGCCCCAAACCCACCUAGAGGAGCCUGUUCUGUAAUCGAUAACCCACGAUUUACCCAACCACCCCUUGCUAAGGCAGCCUACAUACCGCCGUCGCCAGCUCACCUUCACUGAGAGCCAAACAGUGAGCACAAUAGCUCAACUCGCUAGCAAGACAGGUCAAGGUAUAGCCUAUGGGGUGGAAGAAAUGGGCUACAUUUUCUAUAAUAGAAAACCCACGAAAGGGGGCAUGAAACAGCCUCCGGAAGGCGGAUUUAGCAGUAAAGCGGGACAAUAGAGCCCUCUUUAAGUUGGCCCUGGGGCACGUACAUACCGCCCGUCACCCUCCUCGCAAGCCACAGACCAUCAUAACUAAUAACCCUCACGGCUGAAGAUGAGGUAAGUCGUAACAAGGUAAGUGUACCGGAAGGUGCACUUAGCAUAC